AGUGACAAGAAAUAACAAUACAGGACUUUUUUGGUUUUGUAAUUGGAAUGAGUUAAGUAUAAACCCCUUUACAAGUAUCAAUUGGAGGGCAAGUCUGGUGCCAGCAGCCGCGGUAAUUCCAGCUCCAAUAGCGUAUAUUAAAGUUGUUGCAGUUAAAAAGCUCGUAGUUGGAUUUCUGUUAAAUUGUUUAUAUACAAUAUUUUAAAAAUAUUUAUAUAACGUUAACAUAAUUCACAUUACUUCUUUUUUUUUUUUUAAAUAAAAGAAAAAAGUAUGUGAAAUUUUACUUUGAGAAAAUUAGAGUGCUUAAAGAGG
rnacentral:rRNA from 1 species